rnacentral:rRNA from 1 species
CCUACGGGAGGCAGCAGUGGGGAAUAUUGCACAAUGGGCGAAAGCCUGAUGCAGCGACGCCGCGUGAGGGAUGACGGCCUUCGGGUUGUAAACCUCUUUCAGCAGGGAAGAAGCGAAAGUGACGGUACCUGCAGAAGAAGCGCCGGCUAACUACGUGCCAGCAGCCGCGGUAAUACGUAGGGCGCAAGCGUUGUCCGGAAUUAUUGGGCGUAAAGAGCUCGUAGGCGGCUUGUUGCGUCGGUUGUGAAAGCCCGGGGCUUAACCCCGGGUCUGCAGUCGAUACGGGCAGGCUAGAGUGUGGUAGGGGAGAUCGGAAUUCCUGGUGUAGCGGUGAAAUGCGCAGAUAUCAGGAGGAACACCGGUGGCGAAGGCGGAUCUCCGGGCCAUUACUGACGCUGAGGAGCGAAAGCGUGGGGAGCGAACAGGAUUAGAUACCCUGGUAGUCCACGCCGUAAACGUUGGGAACUAGGUGUUGGCGACAUUCCACGUCGUCGGUGCCGCAGCUAACGCAUUAAGUUCCCGCCUGGGGAGUACGGCCGCAAGGCUAAAACUCAAAGGAUUGACGG